rnacentral:rRNA from 2 species
GUUUGAUCCUGGCUCAGGACGAACGCUGGCGGCGCGCCUAACACAUGCAAGUCGAGCGGAGAUGUACGGAUGAAGUUUUCGGAUGGAUUCCAUACAUUUUAGCGGCGGACGGGUGAGUAACGCGUGAGUGACCUGCCUUCCACAGGGGGAUAACGUACCGAAAGGUACACUAAUACCGCAUGAGACCCCGGCACUGCCUGGUGCAGAGGUCAAAGGAGCAAUCCGGUGGAAGAUGGACUCGCGUCCGAUUAGAUAGUUGGUGGGGUAAUGGCCUACCAAGUCAGCGAUCGGUAGCCGACCUGAGAGGGUGAUCGGCCACACUGGAACUGAGAGACGGUCCAGACUCCUACGGGAGGCAGCAGUGGGGAAUAUUGGGCAAUGGGGGAAACCCUGACCCAGCGACGCCGCGUGAGGGAAGAAGGUUUUCGGAUUGUAAACCUCUGUUCUUGGUGAAGAGUGGAAGACGGUAACCAAGGAGGAAGCCCCGGCUAACUACGUGCCCAGCAGCCGCGGUAAUACGUAGGGGGCGAGCGUUUCCGGAAUGAUUGGGCGUAAAGGGCGCGUAGGCGGCUGUUUAAGUCUGGAGUGGAAGUCCUAUUUUUAAGGUAGGAAUUGCUUUGGAAACUGAGCAGCUUGAGUGCAGGAGAGGUCAUCGGAAUUCCCGGUGUAGCGGUGAAAUGCGUAGAGAUCGGGAGGAACACCAGUGGCGAAGGCGGGUGACUGGACUGCAACUGACGCUGAGGCGCGAAAGUGUGGGGAGCAAACAGGAUUAGAUACCCUGGUAGUCCACACUGUAAACGAUGAAUGCUAGGUGUAGGGGGUAUCGACCCCUUCUGUGCCGCAGUCAACACAAUAAGCAUUCCGCCUGGGGAGUACGGUCGCAAGAUUAAAACUCAAAGGAAUUGACGGGGGCCCGCACAAGCAGCGGAGCAUGUGGUUUAAUUUCGAAGCAACGCGAAGAACCCUUACCAGGUCUUGACAUCCGGGUAAAGCUGCAGAGAUGCAGUGUGUGCUUGCACAAUCUGAGACAGGUGGUGCAUGGUUGUCGUCAGCUCGUGUCGUGAGAUGUUGGGUUAAGUCCCGCAACGAGCGCAACCCCUGCGAAUAGUUACUAACAAGUAAAGUUGAGGACUCUAUUGGGACUGCCGUGGACAACACGGAGGAAGGUGGGGACGACGUCAAAUCAUCAUGCCCCUUAUGACCUGGGCUACACACGUGCUACAAUGGUCGCAACAAAGAGGAGCAAAACCGUAAGGUAGAGCAGAUCUCAAAAACGCGAUCUCAGUUCGGAUUGUGGGCUGCAACCCGCCCACAUGAAGUAGGAGUUGCUAGUAAUCGCGAAUCAGCAUGUCGCGGUGAAUACGUUCCCGGGCCUUGUACACACCGCCCGUCAC